rnacentral:misc_RNA from 1 species
GAUGAAGAACGCAGCGAAAUGCGAUACUUGGUGUGAAUUGCAGAAUCCCGUGAACCAUCGAGUCUUUGAACACAAGUUGCGCCCGAAGCCACUAGGCCGAGGGCACGCCUGCCUGGGCGUCACACGCCGUUGCCCCCCCAUCUACUCCUUCGGGAUUGCGGGGGGGCGGAUGAUGGCCUCCCGUGCGUGCCUGCGCGCGCGGUUAGCCCAAAAGCGAGUCCUCGGCGACGAGCGCCACGACAAUCGGUGGUUUUUUUACCCUCGUUCCUCGUCGUGCGUGUCCCGUCGCCCGAACGCGCUCUUGCGACCCUCACGCGUCGCCUCGGCGGCGCUCCCAACGCGACCCCAGGUCAGGCGGGACUACCCGCUGAGUUUAAGCAUAUCAAUAAGCGGAGGA